rnacentral:lncRNA from 1 species
UCUGCUUGGCCGGGCCUGGCCGGAGCCGCCAGGCCCCCUUGUCUGCAGCGCCCCUGCCCUCCUCCUCUGCUUCUGUCGUGACCAGGCACGAGAGAAGGAAGAAGAUAGCGCCAGCCUGGCCCUGCCCCCGGGUCCCGCCUGUAAGCCUCUCCCGCCCGGGCCCGCACGUUUUUAAGUAUAAGCGCAUUUCCAAAAAUACGUUUUCUGUUUUCAGAAAGAGUAUUCCUUUCCCCCCUUUUGAUAAAAUACAUUUUCUAAGCGGGAAAGCGUAUUCCUCUCUUCAGGAGCUCAAAAUAAGUUUUCUCAGUGCAGGAACGUACUCUGCCAGAAGGCGCUCUCUGUUUUGCCUCCAGGGACUUGUUUGUAGAAGUUUUAUUCACAGAUUAAUCCCUGAGCUUCCAACCUUCAUAACUUCGCAACCGUAGCUCCGGUCAAGGUGAAACCAACGCUCACUUCUUUGUCUUGUCAAGACCUUUCUAUUGGUAACAUUUUUACUAGGUGGACACAUAGUGAAAAUUACCAUUUUGCCCUUGCUUCUAAUCAGCCCCCUCCGAGAGAGAAAAGUCUGACAUUUCGUUCCUUGGCUUCACCGCACUUCUUCCCGGAGUCUCUUCACCCCCAGGCAAGACACAACAGCCACUUGCAUGAUAGCCAUGCAUUAGCCAUGGUUUCUACUUGAAUAUUUAAUAAAAGUUUGCUCGUUAUUUGUCUGCUUGUUUGCUACGGUUGUCGUUGUUUCGGUUAUGCUCGUGGUUUCAUGUUCACCUUCAUGCUAUGUUCAAUGCAUCUUGUUAUCUUGUACUAAUUGCUAGUAUUAUUGUCACAUGUUAUGCUUGAUAGUAGUAGUACAUGCUGGUAGCAGUGGGGUGUUCUUUCUGAUGCAUGUUUACCGUCUGUUAUAAAGUACCGUUGCUACGCAUGUUACUUUGCAUCAAGUUGGUUAUAUGCUUACUUGGUAUUAUUCUUGCUUUGUUCUUGAAUGGUAUUUAUUCAUGAUGCUAGUGGUCAUGCUAUGCUUAUGGUAGAGUUAUGCUUGUGUUAUUCAUGCUCGUCAGUAUGCCAUGCUCAUUCAGAUAUAUGAUUCAUUGUGGUUAUGCUCGAUGAUUAUGUUGCACCCCCAUGUUGAUAUCAUGCUCAUGCAUUGUAGUUGCAUCAUGUUAUUUUAUUAUAGCUCAGCUUAUUGCAUUCAAGUUUAACCAGAUAAUGAUGAGCUUGAACAACUGUUUGCUGAGUCAUGGUGCCACCAGACCGAGCUGACCAGUGCAACCACAUUUGCCUUUUAUGGGAUGGUCCUAACUGGGUCUAUUGUCAAGCCUCUCGCCGGUGCCUCCAACGCGGGAAGGUUAUGGGUGCGCGCUACCCUCACUACAAAAAAAAGACACAUCCAUGACAUUUUGGGCCAAACAAAACUUUUU